CUCGGGGCCAGGCCGUGGUGACAGCCUGGUCCCCUGCAUGCAGGUGGUCUCCCUCCUCCCAUCCUUCCUCCAAAGCAGCGAAGUAUCACUCGGUCCUCUUGAGAGAUGGAUGCCCCCAUGGUCCUGGUUGGCAUCGCACUGAAAAUACACUGAGAUCUGAAAUGAGAUGUGGGGGGGGGAAAAGCAACCAACAACAAACCAACUGCUUGGUUCCAGGCUGACCGAAAAUGUUCGCUUUAAUUGGGGCUCUUUAAUUCCUUUUAGAAACGGUGGAGAGAAAUUUGGAGGCUGGUGCACUGUUCCACAGCAGAAGUUGAAAACGUUCGCCUUUGAUACACAUCAAACCAACGCCUUAACGUUCCCAGGGAUCCCCACUUGCUCAUUACUAAGAACCCAAUGAAAUCAAGGGGCCGUUUUCUUCCCAAGUUGAACAUAAUGAUGGCAGUUUGGUGAACAGAUGGCGCGGCUGAGCGGAUAAUCCCGGAGCGAGAGGCAGUGCUGGCUCUGCCCCGGCACUGGGGUGCAGAUGGGCGCUGUGAUGGUGGCACCCGGUGGGACGCAGGCUCGGCUCCGUGCCUUAAUGCUUUGCAAACCCUGAGCACGGUGGCAGGGCCCAAAGCCCCUCGUGCCUCAGUUUCCCGUCCCCGUGACCCCUCACAACCCAUCCGUAGAGCACAGGGGACAGCCCAGAAAAGCCCAUUUAUCAUUCGCCAUUUAGCUCCCAUUUGCACCCCUACUCCCAGCUCUGUCCCCUGGGAGCCCUGGCUCUGCCAGCACCUUGCCCUCCACGUUGGCAGCUCAGCUGCUGAGGGCCCUGCCUCCAUCACCUCCUCUUUCUUUUUUCCUGAGCUCAAUCAGCUGCUCGGAGGGUGUUGCUCAAGGAAAAGCAAUAACCACAGCUCUGCUACAGCUGGGGAAACUAAGGCACACAAAGAGGUGCCCGCAAGUGCACUGGAAUUAGCGGCAGGACAAAGCCCAGGCUUGCGGUGUUGUUGGUGUAUGUGUCCUUACACAUCCAUGGCCCCUACUGCCUCCCCCCUCAGGAGCAGCUGAUGCUGUGUUCUGCUUGAUAGAAAGCCGGCUAAUCAUCUUUCCCACCUUCGUUAGAGUGUGAAUUGUUAUCUGAGCGACACCUGUAAAGCUCCUUGUCAGACAGGGCUGGUGCACACGUCUGAUAAUGGGCACCAGAUGGGAGCGGGGAGGCUCGGAGAGGCACAGGGGCCCAGGCAUCCCUGCUCCAAACAAAGAGCGGUGCCUGACAGCUCUGAUGGCCACGUGGCAUCACUGUGCCAUAGGAACACCCAGCAGCACCCGUGCUCCAUGUCUGCCAUUCCCCAGGUGUGAGUGCCACCAAGGCACUGUGCCUCAGAGCAUCCUGGCACUGCCCGUGGGUGCAAAUCAUAGAAUCAGAAUGGUGUGGGUUGGAAAGGACCUUAAAUGUAGCUUAAAUCCAAACCCCAAAUCCUUCCAGACCCAUGGACCAGACAUGGGGUGGUUGAGGUCAUGCAUUGAACGUGAUCCUGAGUCCUCCACAUCCCCUCCCUGACCCCAAACUCCUGGGGCAGAACACAGCCUUGCUGCCAAGCUGCCCCCCUACAGAAGCAUCCUCAACUUUGACCCUUGCAAUCACAAAGCUCCGUUUGCAGGACGCUAAUCAUUGCUAGCAGCAUAAUGAGCCUCUCUGGGCACUGGCCCUGGGGGCACAGCAAUUAAAAUCGUUGGCACCCAGAGCAUGGGUGGCUGCAGUGCCCGCUCCAGGGUGCCUGGGCAGUACAGGCAAACAAUCAGCUUGUUCUUUGCCAGCUCGAAUGAAGAAUAAAAUCAAAUCAAGGGGGAACUGAGGCCCCAGCAAAACUGGGAGUCAAGUUUAUUUACAAACUGGAUGUAAAGUGAAGGGCUGGGAACAAAGGUGUUAUGUAAGGGACAGUCACUAAGGGGCUCUUUACCCACACUAAUUGCCACUCGCGCUGCAAUACAUCUUUAUCUUGCAGCUGAAUCUGCUCACAGGUUCAAGCAUUGCUCCUUUCACCAUGCUGCCUGGCAAAAUUAGCAGCCAUCAUCCCAUGGUCCAAACCCACGGGGAGCCUUGUGGUGCACCACAGAGCAGGA
ensembl:lncRNA